rnacentral:rRNA from 1 species
GAUGAACGCUGGCGGCGUGCCUAAUACAUGCAAGUCGAGCGAACAGAUGAGGAGCUUGCUCCUCUGACGUUAGCGGCGGACGGGUGAGUAACACGUGGAUAACCUACCUAUAAGACUGGGAUAACUUCGGGAAACCGGAGCUAAUACCGGAUAAUAUAUUGAACCGCAUGGUUCAAUAGUGAAAGACGGUUUUGCUGUCACUUAUAGAUGGAUCCGCGCCGCAUUAGCUAGUUGGUAAGGUAACGGCCUACCAAGGCAACGAUGCGUAGCCGACCUGAGAGGGUGAUCGGCCACACUGAAACUGAGACACGGUCCAGACUCCUACGGGAGGCAGCAGUAGGGAAUCUUCCGCAAUGGGCGAAAGCCUGACGGAGCAACGCCGCGUGAGUGAUGAAGGUCUUCGGAUCGUAAAACUCUGUUAUUAGGGAAGAACAAAUGUGUAAGUAACUAUGCACGUCUUGACGGUACCGAAUCAGAAAGCCACGGCUAACUACGU